rnacentral:rRNA from 1 species
GGUAACGGCCCACCAAGGCGACGAUCAGUAGCCGGACUGAGAGGUUGGCCGGCCACAUUGGGACUGAGACACGGCCCAGACUCCUACGGGAGGCAGCAGUGGGGAAUAUUGGGCAAUGGGCGCAAGCCUGACCCAGCAACGCCGCGUGAAGGAUGAAGGCUUUCGGGUUGUAAACUUCUUUUAACAGGGAAGAGAAGAAGACGGUACCUGUUGAAUAAGCCACGGCUAACUAC